CCGAACACGGUAGUUAAGCUUCUCUGCGCCAAUGGUAGUUGGGGGCUUCCUCCUGCGAGAGUAGGUCGCUGCCGGGC
rnacentral:rRNA from 1 species